GACGAACGCUGGCGGCGUGCCUAAUACAUGCAAGUCGAACGCUUUGAUUUUCACCGGAGCUUGCUCCACCGAAAAUCAAAGAGUGGCGGACGGGUGAGUAACACGUGGACAACCUGCCCAACAGAGGGGGAUAACACUUGGAAACAGGUGCUAAUACCGCAUAAUUUGUUUUUCCGCAUGGAAGAAUAGUAAAAGACGCUUCGGUGUCACUGUUGGAUGGGCCCGCGCUGCAUUAGUUAGUUGGUGGGGUAACGGCCUACCAAGACCAUGAUGCAUAGCCGACCUGAGAGGGUGAUCGGCCACACUGGGACUGAGACACGGCCCAGACUCCUACGGGAGGCAGCAGUAGGGAAUCUUCGGCAAUGGACGAAAGUCUGACCGAGCAACGCCGCGUGAGUGAAGAAGGUUUUCGGAUCGUAAAACUCUGUUGUUAGAGAAGAACAAGUGAGAGAGUUACUGUUCUCACCUUGACGGUAUCUAACCAGAAAGCCACGGCUAACUACGUGCCAGCAGCCGCGGUAAUACGUAGGUGGCAAGCGUUGUCCGGAUUUAUUGGGCGUAAAGCGAGCGCAGGCGGUUUCUUAAGUCUGAUGUGAAAGCCCUCGGCUCAACCGAGGAAGGUCAUUGGAAACUGGGGAACUUGAGUGCAGAAGAGGAGAGUGGAAUUCCAUGUGUAGCGGUGAAAUGCGUAGAUAUAUGGAGGAACACCAGUGGCGAAGGCGACUCUCUGGUCUGUAACUGACGCUGAGGCUCGAAAGCGUGGGGAGCAAACAGG
rnacentral:rRNA from 1 species